rnacentral:rRNA from 1 species
AAUGAACGCUGGCGGCGCGCCUAAUACAUGCAAGUCGAGCGAGAAGACGUAGCAAUACGUUUGUAAAGCGGCGAACGGGUGAGGAAUACAUGGGUAACCUACCCUCGAGUGGGGAAUAACUAGCCGAAAGGUUAGCUAAUACCGCGUACGCUCCUUGGACUUCGGUUCAGGGAGGAAAGCGAUACCGUGGGUAUCGCGCUCUUGGUUGGGCUCAUGUCCUAUCAGCUUGUUGGUGAGGAACGGCUCACCAAGGCUUCGACGGGUAGCUGGUCUGAGAGGACGAUCAGCCACACUGGCACUGCGACACGGGCCAGACUCCUAUGGGAGGCAGCAGUAAGGAAUAUGCGCAAUGGGCGAAAGCCUGACGCAGCGACGCCGCGU